rnacentral:rRNA from 1 species
AUUGAACGAUGGCGGCAGGCCUAACACAUGCAAGUCGAACGAGUGGCGGACGGGUGAGUAAUGUCUGGGAAACUGCCUGAUAGAGGGGGAUAACUAAUGGAAACGGUAGCAAAUACCGCAUACCAUCAGAUGUGCCCAGAUGGGAUUAGCUAGUUGGUGGGGUAACGGCUCACCAAGGCGACGAUCCCUAGCUGGUCUGAGAGGAUGACCAUCCACACUGGAACGAGGACACGGUCCAGACUCCUACUGGAGGCAGCAGUGGGGAAUAUUGCACAAUGGGCGCAAGCCUGAUGCAGCCACGCCGCGUGUAUGAAGAAGGCCUUCGGGUUGUAAAGUACUUUCAGCGGGGAGGCGUUACCCGCAGAAGAAGCACCGGCUAACUCCGUGCCAGCAGCCGCGGUAAUAC